GACGAACGCUGGCGGCGUGCUUAACACAUGCAAGUCGAGCGGUAAGGCCCUUUCGGGGUACGACGAGCGGCGAACGGGUAGGAGUAACACGUGGGUGGACCUCGCCCUCCAGCUCUGGGAGUAAGACCCGGGAAACCGUAGGGUCGUAAUACUGGAUAUGACUCCAUGACGCAUGUUGUGGGGUGGAAAGACCUUGUGCGGCUGGGGAGUGGGCCCGGCCGGCCUAUCAGCUUGUUGGUGGGGGGAUGGCCUACCAAGGCGACGACGGGUAGCCGG
rnacentral:rRNA from 1 species